CACUAUAAAGUGCUCAAAUCAUAUUUUAUUUGCGACUUGCAAAAUUAGAAAAAUAUGGCUGCCACUUUUAAGCUUGUGUAUGUUAUGAUAUUACUUAUUUCCCUGUAUCAUGUUGCAGGAAACUUUGAAGAUAUUAGUAUUGAAUGCAUGUUCAGUAUUGAUUGUCCACAAAUUAAAUCAAACAUAUUUAGGUUUAAGUGCAUUGAAGACCGAUGUAAAAUUGAGUUCAUAUACCAGCGAAAAAAAUAUGAAAUAUAACUGAUACUGUCACUGUGUCAAUGUCAUCCUUCAACAAAACAAAAAAAACUGAUACUUGAAUAUUCUCCCAAUAUAUUGUAUUUUUUUUAUUUCUUUUUAUUUUCGGAAUUUUAUGGACAUUGCAAUUAUGCUUUGUACUCUUAGACGUGGAUAAUGAAAUGAAAUAAGACAUUAAAUAAGACACAAUUUUAUUUUGAAAGAAAAGGCACUAAAUAUUACUAUGAUUAGAUUUUUUA